CCUACGGGAGGCAGCAGCGGGGAAUAUUGCACAAUGGGGGAAACCCUGAUGCAGCGACGCCGCGUGAGUGAAGAAGUAUUUCGGUAUGUAAAGCUCUAUCAGCAGGGAAGAAGAAAGACGGUACCUGACUAAGACGCCCCGGCUAACUACGUGCCAGCAGCCGCGGUAAUACGUAGGGGGCAAGCGUUAUCCGGAUUUACUGGGUGUAAGGGGAGCGUAGACGGCGGUGCAAGUCUGAAGUGAAAGCCCAGGGCUCAACCCUGGGACUGCUUUGGAAACUGUGGAGCUAGAGUGCUGGAGAGGUAAGUGGAAUUCCUAGUGUAGCGGUGAAAUGCGUAGAUAUUAGGAGGAACACCAGUGGCGAAGGCGGCUUACUGGACAGUAACUGACGUUGAGGCUCGAAAGCGUGGGGAGCAAACAGGAUUAGAUACCCGAGUAGUC
rnacentral:rRNA from 1 species